CUUAUACUCCCUUUGUCCGGAAUUACUUGUCACACAAAUAGAUGUGUCUAAAACUAAAAUACAUCUAGAUACAUCCAUCUCUAUGACAAGUAUUUAUGGACGGAGGGAGUAGUAA
rfam:Hordeum vulgare subsp. vulgare, WGS project CAJW01000000 data, contig: morex_contig_250992